CAUAUCUAACUAGAUGAAUGUGGU
rnacentral:siRNA from 1 species